ensembl:lncRNA
AUGCGGGUUUUACUCCCGCUACUUCGCCGUCUCAAAAAGCGGAGGAGGCAUAAGACCCAUCCUCGAUCUAAGACUCCUCAAUACUUACCUGCGACCCAGACGGUUUCGGAUGCUUACCUUAGAGUCCAUCAUGCACUUGCUGAAAAAGAGCAACUGGUUCGUCCUUAUAGAUCUAAAGGACGCAUACUUUCACGUCACUAUUCACCCCGACCACCGCAGGUUCCUUCGGUUCAUCUUUCAGGACACGGUCUACGAAUUCCAGGCCCUGCCAUUCGGUCUGUCCACAGCUCCCCGGACCUUCACCAAGGUUAUGGCUCCGGUGGCGGCUUACCUUCGUCUCAGGGGCAUUCACGUUUACCCUUACCUGGACGAUUGGCUCGUAGUCUCCACCUCGAGAAGGCAAUCCCUGAAAGACACAAGAUUCAUUCUGUAUCUUCUUUCCAAUCUCGGUCUCACUGUCAACAAUCAGAAAUCCCGGCUCAUUCCCUCCAAGACAGUUCAAUACAUAGGGGUCUGCUUGGACGCUGUAAAGGGUCGAGUCUUUCUUCCCCCGGAAAGAAUACACAAGAUUCGACGAGCCAUCAGGAAAUUUUUCCCCGGUGCUCGGGUGACAGCCCACCAUGCCCAGCACCUCCUCGGCCUGAUGUCUUCUACGACGCCGGCGCUAGCGCACGCUCGCCUCAAACUCCGGUCGCUCCAAUCUUGGUUUCUCACCCUUUUCGACCCCAUGAUCGACAGUCAAAGGAAACGCCUUCGUGUCACCCCGGAGCUCACCAGACAACUCCAGUGGUGGAUGUACACACCCCAUCUCACGGUUGGCCGGCCCUUUCGUCCACUCCGUCUCACCGUUCAAGUUACAACGGACGCCAGUCCGUCCGGCUGGGGGGCGCACUGCGGGCGCCGCACCAUUCACGCCCUCUGGACGCCUCAAGAAGCCAUGUUCCACAUCAAUUACCUGGAACUGCUGGCGGUUAUCAAGGCCUUCAAGUCCUUCCUCCCUCUCCUCCGCGGCCGCGGAGUUCAGCUAGUGACGGACAACACUACCACAAUGCACUAUGUCAACAAGCAGGGAGGAACCCGCUCUCAUUCACUCCUGUAUCUCUCCAUCCUCCUUUGGGAAUGGUGUUACCGUCAUCAUAUCUACCCGGUGGCCAUCCAUGUAGCCACGGAGGACAACACACUUGCCGACACUCUGAGCAGGCUUCACUAUCAGACUCACGAAUGGGAGUUGAACCCUCUGGUCUUCCAGGACCUUUGCAACCAGUGGGGGACCCCAGUGCUGGACGUGUUCGCAUCCCCUCACAACGCAAAAUGCUCCCGCUAUGCCUCCCGGGCAGGUCUCGGUCACCACUCGCUCGGCGACGCAUUCAUGAUUCCAUGGAACCAGGGUCUCUUGUACAUGUUUCCACCGAUCCCGUUAAUACAGAGAUCCUUGAUCAAACUCCGACGCUCGAUGACUCCGGCCAUCUUCAUCGCACCCUUUUGGCCUCGCCAAGUGUGGUUUCCCACUCUAGUCAGCAUGGCUGUGGACUCAGUAACCCUUCCAAUGUGGCCAGACCUACUGACCCAGGAAGCAGGCAAAGUCCUUCACCCCGACCUCGACACGCUCCAUCUGACGGCGUGGCGGAUCGUCCCGAAAUUCAGGAGGCCUUGACCCAUGCCAUCAAACCCUCCACGUCUCGCUUGUAUGCCUCCAAAUGGAACAGCUUUCUGACAUUUACCCAGCAGAGGGAUCUCACCUCCUCACCUGUGUCUCUUUCCACACUUCUGCAGUAUCUCCGUUACCUGUUUGAUUUCCACCUGUCUAUCUCUACUAUCAAGGUGUACCUGGCUGCGGUUGUCUUCUUUCAGCCCAGAGCUUCUCCCUCAUCCCGCUUUUUCUCCCAUCCUACCGUCAGGAUGUUUUUGAGGGGUCUCUCUAACCUCCGACCUCCCGUUCGUCCUCCACUCCCUCAGUGGUCCCUCCAUUUGGUUCUGCAUGCCCUAUCCAGACCCCCAUUUGAACCUAUGGCUACCUGUGACCUCAAAAUGCUCUCUUUAAAAACGCUAUUCCUAGUGGCUAUUACCUCUGCUCGUCGAGCUAGCGAGUUGGCAGCUCUCCGCCAUGACCAACCUUUUCUUCAGUUCUUUAAGGACAAGGUUAUGCUUUACCUGGACGUCUCCUUUCUUCCUAAGGUGGUCUCCGACUUCCACGUCAAUCAGCCACUUAUUCUCCCAACUUUGUUUCCGUCUCCGACGACUGAUGUUGAACGCAUGCUCCACAUGCUCGAUGUUCGACGGUCCUUAGCUUUUUACGUGUCCAGGACCAAGGACUUUCGCCUGGCCAACAGACUCUUCCUUUGCCACUUUGGCCCUAAGAAGGGUUGCCCGGCCUCGCCGUCCACGCUCUCUCGGUGGCUCGUGUCUACCAUCGCCCUUGCCUACGAGCUCAACCACAGAGAUCCUCCACAGGGACUUAAAGCCCAUUCCACCCGGGCUGUUGCCUCCUCCACUGCCUUACUUCGUGGCGUCGACCUGCCCGACAUCUGCCGGUCCGCUACGUGGUCUAAUGCCUCUACCUUCAUAACCCACUACAGAUUGGACGUGAGGGCAAAAGAGGAGACCAAAUUCGGGAGGGCAGUGCUAGCAUCGGCUCUUCAGUGA